GCGUCCACGGCCGCUGCCCAAGGCAGAGAAACGGAAGCUUGGAGAACUGGAGCGACUUGCCAGGAUUGCACUGGACAUGGCAGCGGCAGCACCCAUCUGACGCCCAAGGAAGCUGCUGCCUCCUGUCCUGGUCCUGACCUUUGGCUUCUCAAGGGCUGUGCUACUUGUGGCAGUUGUUCAAACAGCUUCAAUAUCCUGGCACAAGAUGGCACUUCAUUUGAUGGGAUGCAGCACAAGGCCAGUCUCGUUCCCAAGGAAACAGCUGCCAACAGAUGAUAGGCUUCACUUUCUCAUGAAGCUGUGGGUUUCCAGCCUCAGGGAGUGAAGAAGUCUCAAAGUGAAAAGCUGCAAUCAAUUCCUCACUCUGCUGCUGUGUGUGGCAUCUCUGUCUGUCUGAAUCUGACCCAUUGUUCAAAGCCCAACUUAAAUGCCACUUCCUCCCAUGGAGACUUUUCUGAUUUUUUCCUUUCUCCCAGGUUCCCCUCUCUGUCAUGCUAGGUAUGAUCAUAGGCCACCAGACUCCUCUGUCCAUGGAGUUCUCCAGGGAGUGUGUUGCCAUUCCCUUCUCCAGGGGAUCUUCCCAGUCUCUCACAUUGCAGACAGAUUCUUUACCAUCUGAGCCACCAGAGAAGCCCAGGUAUGACUCACCUUCCUCCAAAUACACUCACUUGCUGUGACUGUCCUUAGAGUUAAAUAGUUGACCUCUAUGGGCCUUAAUUAUUAAUCCUUCCUUUGUAAAGUGGAAAUAAUAUCUGCCU
ensembl:lncRNA